AUUGAACGCUGGCGGCAGGCCUAACACAUGCAAGUCGAGCGGAGCGGCGGACGGGUGAGUAAUGUAUGGGGAUCUGCCCGAUGGAGGGGGAUAACUACUGGAAACGGUGGCUAAUACCGCAUACUAUCAGAUGAGCCUAGGUCGGAUUAGCUAGUUGGUGGGGUAAAGGCCCACCAAGGCGACGAUCCCUAACUGGUCUGAGAGGAUGAUAAGUCACACGGGAACGGAGACACGGGCCAGACUCCUAAGGGAGGCAGCAGUGGGGAAUAUUGCACAAUGGGCGAAAGCCUGAUCCAGCCAUGCCGCGUGGGUGAAGAAGGCCUUCGGAUUGUAAAGCACUUUAAGUUGGGAGGCGUUACCAACAGAAUAAGCACCGGCUAACUCCGUGCCAGCAGCCGCGGUAAUAC
rnacentral:rRNA from 1 species